GUGGGGAAUAUUGGACAAUGGGCGAAAGCCUGAUCCAGCCAUGCCGCGUGUGUGAAGAAGGUCUUCGGAUUGUAAAGCACUUUAAGUUGGGAGGAAGGGCAGUAAGUUAAUACCUUGCUGUUUUGACGUUACCGACAGAAUAAGCACCGGCUAACUUCGUGCCAGCAGCCGCGGUAAUACGAAGGGUGCAAGCGUUAAUCGGAAUUACUGGGCGUAAAGCGCGCGUAGGUUGUUUUGUAAGUUGGAGGUGAAAUCCCCGGGCUCAACCUGGGAACUGCCUCCAAAACUGCAUGACUAGAGUACGGUAGAGGGUAGUGGAAUUUCCUGUGUAGCGGUGAAAUGCGUAGAUAUAGGAAGGAACACCAGUGGCGAAGGCGACUACCUGGACUGAUACUGACACUGAGGUGCGAAAGCGUGGGGAGCAAACAGGAUUAGAAACCCCUGUAGUCC
rnacentral:rRNA from 1 species